UACGGGGGGAGCAAGCGUUGUUCGGAAUCACUGGGCGUAAAGGGCGCGUAGGCGGUGAGGUAAGUGAGAUGUGAAAUCCUCCGGCUCACCCGGAGACAUGCAUCUCAUACUGCUUCGCUAGAGUGCAACAGAGGAAACGGGAAUUCCUGGUGUAGCGGUGAAAUGCGUAGAUAUCAGGAGGAACACCGGUGGCGAAGGCGCGUUUCUGGGCUGCUACUGACGCUGAGGCGCGAAAGCUGGGGGAGCGAACGGG
rnacentral:rRNA from 1 species